UACGUAGGUGGCAAGCGUUGUCCGGAAUUAUUGGGCGUAAAGCGCGCGCAGGCGGUCCUUUAAGUCUGAUGUGAAAGCCCACGGCUCAACCGUGGAGGGUCAUUGGAAACUGGGGGACUUGAGUACAGAAGAGGAAAGCGGAAUUCCACGGGUAGCGGUGAAAUGCGUAGAGAUGUGGAGGAACACCAGUGGCGAAGGCGGCUUUCUGGUCUGUAACUGACGCUGAGGCGCGAAAGCGUGGGGAGCAAACAGG
rnacentral:rRNA from 1 species